GACGAACGCUGGCGGCGUGCCUAAUACAUGCAAGUAGAACGCCGAAGGAGGAGCUUGCUUCUCUGGAUGAGUUGCGAACGGGUGAGUAACGCGUAGGUAACCUGCCUGGUAGCGGGGGAUAAGUAUUGGAAACGAUAGCUAAUACCGCAUAAGAGUAGACGUCGCAUGACAUUUGCUUAAAAGGUGCAAUUGCAUCACUACCAGAUGGACCUGCGUUGUAUUAGCUAGUUGGUGAGGUAACGGCCCCCCAACGCAACGAUACAUAGCCGACCUGAGAGGGGGGACGGCCCCCCUGGGACUGGGACCCCGCCCCGACUCCCUCGGGAGGCAGCAGUAGGGGAUCUUCGGCCAUGGACGGCAGUCUGACCGCGCCCCGCCGCGUGAGUGAAGGAGGGUUUCGGAUCGUAAAGCUCUGUUGUAAGAGAAGAACGAGUGUGAGAGUGGAAAGUUCACACUGUGACGGUAUCUUACCAGAAAGCGACGGCUAACUACGUG
rnacentral:rRNA from 1 species